rnacentral:rRNA from 1 species
AUGAACGCUAGCUACAGGCUUAACACAUGCAAGUCGAGGGGCAGCAUGGUCUUAGCUUGCUAAGGCCGAUGGCGACCGGCGCACGGGUGAGUAACACGUAUCCAACCUGCCGUCUACUCUUGGACAGCCUUCUGAAAGGAAGAUUAAUACAAGAUGGCAUCAUGAGUCCGCAUGUUCACAUGAUUAAAGGUAUUCCGGUAGACGAUGGGGAUGCGUUCCAUUAGAUAGUAGGCGGGGUAACGGCCCACCUAGUCUUCGAUGGAUAGGGGUUCUGAGAGGAAGGUCCCCCACAUUGGAACUGAGACACGGUCCAAACUCCUACGGGAGGCAGCAGUGAGGAAUAUUGGUCAAUGGGCGAGAGCCUGAACCAGCCAAGUAGCGUGAAGGAUGACUGCCCUAUGGGUUGUAAACUUCUUUUAUAAAGGAAUAAAGUCGGGUAUGGAUACCCGUUUGCAUGUACUUUAUGAAUAAGGAUCGGCUAACUCCGUGCCAGCAGCCGCGGUAAUACGGAGGAUCCGAGCGUUAUCCGGAUUUAUUGGGUUUAAAGGGAGCGUAGAUGGAUAUUUAAGUCAGUUGUGAAAGUUUGCGGCUCAACCGUAAAAUUGCAGUUGAUACUGGAUAUCUUGAGUGCAGUUGAGGCAGGCGGAAUUCGUGGUGUAGCGGUGAAAUGCUUAGAUAUCACGAAGAACUCCGAUUGCGAAGGCAGCCUGCUAAGCUGCAACUGACAUUGAGGCUCGAAAGUGUGGGUAUCAAACAGGAUUAGAUACCCUGGUAGUCCACACGGUAAACGAUGAAUACUCGCUGUUUGCGAUAUACUGCAAGCGGCCAAGCGAAAGCGUUAAGUAUUCCACCUGGGGAGUACGCCGGCAACGGUGAAACUCAAAGGAAUUGACGGGGGCCCGCACAAGCGGAGGAACAUGUGGUUUAAUUCGAUGAUACGCGAGGAACCUUACCCGGGCUUAAAUUGCAGAUGAAUUACGGUGAAAGCCGUAAGCCGCAAGGCAUCUGUGAAGGUGCUGCAUGGUUGUCGUCAGCUCGUGCCGUGAGGUGUCGGCUUAAGUGCCAUAACGAGCGCAACCCUUGUUGUCAGUUACUAACAGGUUCCGCUGAGGACUCUGACAAGACUGCCAUCGUAAGAUGUGAGGAAGGUGGGGAUGACGUCAAAUCAGCACGGCCCUUACGUCCGGGGCUACACACGUGUUACAAUGGGGGGUACAGAGGGCCGCUACCACGCGAGUGGAUGCCAAUCCCCAAAACCUCUCUCAGUUCGGACUGGAGUCUGCAACCCGACUCCACGAAGCUGGAUUCGCUAGUAAUCGCGCAUCAGCCACGGCGGGGUGAAUACGUUCCCGGGCCUUGUACACACCGCCCGUCAAGCCAUGGGAGCCGGGGGUACCUGAAGUGCGUAACCGCGAGGAGCGCCCUAGGGUAAAACUGGUGACUGGGGCU